rnacentral:lncRNA from 1 species
GGCGUGAUUGGAGGCGAUUCGUGGAUUCAGAUCGUGGGCUCAUGAAUUCGAGUGGUGUUCAUGGAUUCGGACGUGUGCGAGGCGUUCGUGGAUUCGAACGUGAGGGCGUGGACAACCCGAAGGAUUGCGCGAGAUUCGUAAGAGGUUAAGAGAGGUCGAGUCCGUGGAGUCGAUAAUCACCUUGUAAUCUUUUCUCUUAGAAAAUUAUUUUUUCGCGUGUUGGUCCCAUGGGUUUUUCUCAAAGUUGGAGUUUUUCCACGUAAAUCUCGAUGUGAUUUUUAU